ensembl:lncRNA
GACAGCCUUUGGAAGAACUUAGGUCAUACAUACCCAUCCCUCCCCGCCCUCCCCCCGCCCCCCGACGCCCAGACCGUCCUCAGCCUCUCCAUUACUCGCUUUGCUUUCCCGGUUUUCCACUCCGGAGCGCAGCUCGGCACGUGCACGCGGGUGUGAGCGCGCCCAGAGGCUGCAGAGACCCGGAGCGUCGCUCGGAUCCGGCCAGAGCGGGUAGGAUCCUCGCUGGCAAGAAAACCAGCGGAGGAAAGGAACUGUGUUUCGCCCAUUACUUUUAUUAGACGAGAGAGGCUAUAGAGGGCGUUUGUCCCGGGUCCCGUUUCAUAGCCGCCUGCUGACUUCAUCAAAAGGGCUCGUCCAGACCGCGAUUCCGCCGCGCGUGGUCAGGCGCACACUGACGCAGCUGGGUGGGAGAGCCGCGGUUGAACAGAAAUUGCUGGCACUGACCUGGGGAGAAAGGUUUGCAGUGACCGUAAAUGGCAAAGACUGCCCUACAGAACCAGGAACAGCGCCCAAGGUCAGCAGGUGAAGCCAGCCGCCGGAGAGAUGGGCCAAGGAGGCCGGUGGAGUCUCCUCACAGAGGACAGAGGCCCACGUUCGUUCUUGACGGGGACACCUUACCGUGUGACAGAUGCCACGGUGUGACCCCAAACAAGGCCCAGGGUGUGCGGAGACCGGGCGCGCUCUCCCUGCUGUGCUCGUUGAAACUGCUACAGAGGAAUCCGGGAGACAUUUGUCCAUAUCUGAAAAAGCAGGAGCUGCCCACCCCGCUGACCCCCAGAUCCCUGCCUCAUUGUCCGCCGCCGCUGAGAAAAUGCCAGGCUGGGGGCACUGAGCCCUGGCACUGCCCUUGCAGCAUUGUCUGCAAAGUGCAGGGCUGGAAGCGUCCUAAAUGGCAGUCAGAGGAGGCCUGGCUGCAGAGCCCAGCCCAGGGCACGUCCCCUGGAACAGAGUGUUCCCCAGGGAUGACGGGAACCACCCCAGACUCUGCUUGCACUCGCUGGAGCCAGUCCUGGGGGUAUAAGGUUGAGCUGGGGAAAAUAAUAAUACUUUCAGAAAAGGAUACCGACAGCUUGCGGCUCCUGCCACAAUUGACAAAAAGAAAAACAAACCAGCAAUAUACCUGCUGUUUACAGGUGGGGGUGGCAGCGUCGCUAUGGGGCCUCUCCCCUAGGCUGCAGGCCCACUGUGUGCUUGAAGAGAGGCUGGGGGCCCACACUGGCGGGCAUGCUUUGUUUCUGAAAAAUCUAUAUGCUGCAAAUGUCACCAGAGAUUGUUAACUUGAAAUGAUGGUUACGUGGAUUCUAUCACUCUCUACAUUCCUAGCAUGUGAAAUAUUUAACACUUUGAAAAUUAAAACAAGAAUGUGUGUUACCCUUUAAAAGAAGUGUCAUAGUGCAGAAGUAUAGGGAGCUAAUGGAGGAGUGCUUUCUUAAAAAAAACAGUUUCUCAAAAAUGUACGUGUCUGUCUCUUUCUUCCUGGCUUCACCUCGCCCCACCCUCGCCCAUCCCAUCCUUCAGAACAUAAAGAUACAGUCUUAGAUUUUCGGUGUUGACCUCUGAACGGAUGGCCCCCGGUGUGUCUGUCACUGGGCGUCAUCCAGAACGUGGCAGAGAGAGAGGCUUCCUGGGCAGAACGCUGCCCGAGGGACCUCAGGCUCCUCACCUGGGCCCAUCAGGUACCCAGGAUACUGAGGGACAGAAACAGAAAAACCACGGUUGCGUACGUUUCCUGCCGGCUUCCCUGCUAAGCAUCUUCUGUGCACCUGAGUGUCUUGAUCUCGAGUGAUCCAGGCAAACCUGAUCACACCUCGGGAGCCCUGGCUCUCCUGUAUGAAGCGCGGUGCAUUGCCACGUUGAAUUUUAAGCCCCUAUAGCUAUGCACACUGAAAAUAGCAUUUCAUUUUUAAAAUAAAUUCCUGAGUUAGCAGUCAGCCCCAAACCUUCCAUUCCUUGAGAACAGCGAGCGUGCAUUUUGUUGUUGUUUUUUGCAUCCCGCAUGACGUGUGCCAUUCCCAGCACACAGAUGUUCAUGAAAAAGGAAAGUGAACAAAAGCAAACCAUACUGAUGAUACUGUUAAUGAAAAAUUCAGAGUGGGACCGACCGUUUAAAGCUGAUUAGAUCCUAGCAAGGGUUUUUUUAGAAACAGACAAGUUUCUUCUGAAAUUUAUUUUUAGUGGCAGGAAUCUUAGGAUGGC